CCUUUCCCCCUGCACUGGUGUCCCCAACUUGCCUGGGAGCCGCAAUCCCAAAGAGCCCCGCUCAGCCCGGGGGGCAGCCGGGGCUGGAGGGGGUGGGGACACCCGUGUCCCCCCCAGCCCCACAAGGCCAACCCCAACCAAGCCUUUGCUCUCCUCCUGCAGCCCGUUCAGGCCGGCGGCGUCCAAUGUGGGGAGGUAAGUCUGGGAGUUGGGGGGCACCCAGUGUGGGAAGUGGGGGGCACUUUGGGCCCCCCAUCCCUUCCUGGCACUGGGGACACCCCAGUGACCAGUGACGUCUCCUUGUCUCUCUACAGGCAGGCAUCAUCGGCGGCCCGCCAAUCUCGGGACAAGGAGGAGGUGGAUGUGUCGGGGGAGGCAUGGAUGUCCAUCGAGUGAAGAGGUCUGAG